AGCGAGAGCCAGCCACGGCCCAGAAGGCCGGGACCAAGAAGCGCUCCGGCGUGAGCCGGCUGCCCUGGCUCCCGAGUUCACUGCUCUUCGCCCCGAGCUCGCAGACAGGUCCGAAGGCCGAGGGGACGCCCGUCCUGCUGUGGCAGCCGACGAGAAGAAAACAAAGGCUCUGAGAGUUUAAGCUUAUUCUGAUUUUCAUAAAGUUAAAACAUCACCAAAGAAAAACUUGAAGCUUUGGGCUAUACUCCAAAAGAGAACACACAACUCCUCACAGACCAUUACUUAUUCACACAGUGGACUUGUUAAGAAAAAGAAUGCUGUGCCAUCAAAUCACCUUCAUUUAUAUUCCAGAUAUAAGUGAAGUCAUAUGAUAUUUAUCUUUGACUUAUUUCACUAAACGUAAGUGCUGAUCACUGGACACAUGGAUUCUGAAGUGACCUGUUGGAAGCCACAACUUGUGGUUACAUUGGAUUCUUGCUUUGCCCCUACUCAGAUGCUAUUGUGUGGGCUUCCAAGCAUAAGGUUUAAGCAUUCUGUAAGCUACUAUGUGGCAGUGCUGGCUGAAGCUUUGAGUGCAACAAAAAGCACACCAAUGUCUGGAAUAUGUAUCUAUCACUCUGAGGAAAAAACUCUAGCCCUCAGGAACCACACUUCUGAAUCCACCAAGAAUAGAUGCCAAAUGGGAAUAAAUGUGAUUAAAUGUACAAGAAUAUUUUUAGGGAAAAUUCCCAUAAGGAUAAAAAGUAAAAUCUAAGAGUUGGAAGAAUCAAGAACCAUUGAAUUGUACUGUAAAUCUGACCCCAGUGAAGGAGAAAGAAAAGAUUGGUGGAGGCCAUCUAGACUGCAGCACAAUCUAAGGAAAGUCAACACUGUGGAGGAGUUUGAGUCAAACACGGCUGUUAGAAGAGUCCUUUGUCUCCCAGGAAUGGCCUGGCUUUGUAUCCACACUGUAUUUAACCACUGAUUGAAAGGAGAUUGUAGAAAACAUGGACUUGAAGCAAACAUGGAAAUGGAUUUCAGAGCAGAGCAAGUAGGGAUUUUGGUCAAUUAUGUUGGCACAGUUGGACAGAUGGCCAGUGUAUUAUCAACAAUGCAUUCUUAAUCACACAGAUUUUACACAUUAAUUUGAUAUUUUAUGAAAGGGAAUCAAUUAAUCGUGUUUGAAUAAAAUUGAUUUAACUGAAAUUGUUACAAAAGUAAUAUUUGAAAUUAUCUCUUUAGUACUGCCUUUAAAUUCCAUUUAUGAAAUGCAAAAUAAGUCUGUAAUUUUAUUUUAUAGUGACUUAAUCUUUUCAGCUUAAAAAUAUCCAGCUUCUAUACAGUUUUUUUGUUUUGUUUUGUUUUGACAGGGUCUCUUUGAAAUAUUGUUAUUAUUUCAAAAAAAUGUAUUCACUUAUAAAAAUGAAACCGUGACUAUACCUUUCUGAAAAUGUUUCUAGUUCUGAGAACUGCUCUUCAGAAAAAAUGUUGCUUCACAUGUAAUGGAGUUGUAAAUGAAUUAAAAUUAAAGAAUUUACCCAGAAAGGAUGAUACGUUCUCAUCAUUGUUGACUUUCAAAUUGUGUAAAAUAUGUGUUUAUACAGAAAUAAAAACUCUACAUAUAAAUGAACUGUAUGCUAUAAUGACAAGAAAUCAGCACAUGGAAUCAGGUGAUGCUCACACACCUCUCUGUAUUAACUUCAUUGAUAUUUUAAUAUUAUUUUAAAACAAGCCAAGGCAUAUUUUAUGAAAUACAACAUUAAAUUUAUUAUAACAACUUUCACAAACCAGUGUCUCCUAUUUUACACAAAAGACUAUCACAUGGCAUUAUUAUAAGAAUUUAUUAGGGAAAUUCUUAGAAUAAAAAUCUUUUGUAUUAACAUUUGUGGAUACCUUGAUCACUCUCAUCUCCGUAACAUGUGAAUGGUGUUAGGAUACCACCCAUACUACAUAUAUCACUUUGCUUUUAUAUAUUGAUGUCGACUUACUUUAUUUUCUUAUUUAAAUAAUGACUUACUUAAUAAAUUCCUGCUUGUGAUUGCAUGUACACUUGAGUAGACAGAGAUCAUGUUACUGAUUAUAUAAUUAAAACAAAUUUUAAAAGUGUGAGGUAUAUAAUAUGUGUGAAAUAACAUUCUAUUUAAUCCUUGGAAAUUUCUAGGAGAAACUUAAAAUGUAAUUAUCGCAUAAGAACUAAUCUCUAAUAUUUAAAAAAGUUCAGCAUUGUAUUCAGUAUAUUGAA